CAACCACCCGCAUCCGCAAACCGCUGCUGCGGUUACACUAGUCAGGCCCUAAAUUGGUCGACAGCAAGGCCUCGUCCUUCACCUUCACCUGCCUCCUUAGUUUCAAACCCACCUGAAAAUCUGACGUCUGUAACUCUUCCUGGUGAUCGCUCCAACUCCCUCUGUUUCUCUCAUUAUAUAAAUCCCUUCUCCGUACAAAGCUCGAAGCACGUUCUUCAAGCUCCAUGCAACCACAUCAGGCAAUUGGCAAUGAGAUCGGAAAAAUCCAGCAGCAAUUCUCCAUUUGUCUGUUUUUCUGGCGACAUCCCAGGGACGGAUCUAAGUUCCCAUUUAAUCCACUUCUGGAAGGCUAGAAACACUGCAAAAACUGGUUCUUAUUGAAGAGCGGUGAUGCAAGGGUUCAGCUCAUCAAAUCGUGGUCCAAGAUACCAACCUCACCUCAAACCGGGAACCACUUAUAUCCUCAUCAAAAUCGUUGCUGAUCACAGUUUAAUGACAGACAGGUUCAGGUUCCACUUAUAUGAAGAUUUUGAAGCCAACUUUGGGCUCAAGCGACAUCUAUAGUAAGUUUUAUAUCCUCUACAACUUAUUCACUUACCUGUUGUGUAAUCGAAUAAUGUAGAUGUUGUUAGACACAUGAAGCUAAUCAAUGGACAGUCUCUCAUAGACUAACCCGUCCCUGAUAAAGUGGGAAUAAAAACUGUAUCUUGGUUCAUUUACAACCUAACGAGUAUGUUGUUUGCAGUAUAUGUUAGUCACAACGAUCAACACUAAACGAAUUGGUGGUAAUCAUUAGUCCCUUUUGCAUAACUACCUCCGUGCUUUGGUCUUUGAUUUUUUUUGUUUUGCAAAUCAUGUGUGAAUGUAAGAUCGUGACACAUAAUGGUGAGACAGGAGAGAUUUUAAGCUCCUGUAAAAAAAAAAAAAGAAAGAGAUGUCCAUGCACAGAAAGAAGAGAACAAUAUAUAGAGGAUUUAGUUCUUCCAUUGGCAAGGAACUUCCAGAACGGAAAUGGCCUAUCCAGAUAUCACUUUAAGAGAGAGAAGCACAAGUUCUAAUGUUAUGUUUCAGAGGAUGAACAAGCAAUAGACUAUAUCUCACCUCAGAUUGAUUAACCGAAGGCUAAGGGUGAGUCUGUAUCUAGUGGAGGUGCUCUAAUUUUUUCUGGUGGGUGUGAUUACACAUGAGAACCUUUCUUCUUUCUGAGUUUUUGAAUAUUUUCUCUUUCACACAUAUUGU